AUUGAACGCUGGCGGCAUGCCUUACACAUGCAAGUCGAACGGCAGCGCGGGAGCAAUCCUGGCGGCGAGUGGCGAACGGGUGAGUAAUAUAUCGGAACGUGCCCAGUAGUGGGGGAUAGCCCGGCGAAAGCCGGAUUAAUACCGCAUGAGACCCGAGGGUGAAAGCGGGGGAUCGCAAGACCUCGCGCUAUUGGAGCGGCCGAUAUCAGAUUAGCUAGUUGGUGGGGUAAAGGCCUACCAAGGCAACGAUCUGUAGUUGGUCUGAGAGGACGACCAGCCACACUGGGACUGAGACACGGCCCAGACUCCUACGGGAGGCAGCAGUGGGGAAUUUUGGACAAUGGGCGCAAGCCUGAUCCAGCAAUGCCGCGUGUGGGAUGACGCCUUUCGGGGUGUAAACCACUUUUCUCAGGAAGAAGCACUGACGGUACCUGAGGAAGAAGGACCGGCUAAC
rnacentral:rRNA from 1 species